rnacentral:rRNA from 1 species
UUUGACUGGGGCGGUCUCCUCCUAAAGAGUAACGGAGGAGCACGAAGGUUGGCUAAUCCUGGUCGGACAUCAGGAGGUUAGUGCAAUGGCAUAAGCCAGCUUGACUGCGAGCGUGACGGCGCGAGCAGGUGCGAAAGCAGGUCAUAGUGAUCCGGUGGUUCUGAAUGGAAGGGCCAUCGCUCAACGGAUAAAAGGUACUCCGGGGAUAACAGGCUGAUACCGCCCAAGAGUUCAUAUCGACGGCGGUGUUUGGCACCUCGAUGUCGGCUCAUCACAUCCUGGGGCUGAAGUAGGUCCCAAGGGUAUGGCUGUUCGCCAUUUAAAGUGGUACGCGAGCUGGGUUUAGAACGUCGUGAGACAGUUCGGUCCCUAUCUGCCGUGGGCGCUGGAGAACUGAGGGGGGCUGCUCCUAGUACGAGAGGACCGGAGUGGACGCAUCACUGGUGUUCGGGUUGUCAUGCCAAUGGCACUGCCCGGUAGCUAAAUGCGGAAGAGAUAAGUGCUGAAAGCAUCUAAGCACGAAACUUGCCCCGAGAUGAGUUCUCCCUGACCCUUUAAGGGUCCUGAAGGAACGUUGAAGACGACGACGUUGAUAGGCCGGGUGUGUAAGCGCAGCGAUGCGUUGAGCUAACCGGUACUAAUGAACCGUGAGGCUUAACCUUACAACGCCGAAG